UACGAAGGGUGCAAGCGUUACUCGGAAUUACUGGGCGUAAAGCGUGCGUAGGUGGUUCGUUAAGUCUGUCGUGAAAGCCCCGGGCUCAACCUGGGAAUGGCGAUGGAGACUGCAAGGCUAGAAUCUGGCAGAGGGGGGUAGGAAUUCCACGGUGUAGCAGUGAAAUGACGUAGAGAUGUGGAGGAAUACCGAUGGCGAAGGCAGCCCCUGGGCCAAUACU
rnacentral:rRNA from 1 species